rnacentral:misc_RNA from 1 species
AACCUUAUGGACCUGCGGGCGUAUACCUGCGGAGGGAUCAUUACAAGUGACCCCGGUCUAACCACCGGGAUGUUCAUAACCCUUUGUUGUCCGACUCUGUUGCCUCCGGGGCGACCCUGCCUUCGGGCGGGGGCUCCGGGUGGACACUUCAGACUCUUGCGUAACUUUGCAGUCUGAGUAAACUUAAUUAAUAAAUUAAAACUUUCAACAACGGAUCU